rnacentral:rRNA from 1 species
CCUACGGGUGGCAGCAGUGGGGAAUAUUGGACAAUGGGGGAAACCCUGAUCCAGCGACGCCGCGUGAGUGAAGAAGUAUUUCGGUAUGUAAAGCUCUAUCAGCAGGGAAGAAAAUGACGGUACCUGCCGACGAAGACACGGCUAACUACGUGCCAGCAGCCGCGGUAAUACGUAGGGGGCAAGCGUUAUCCGGAUUUACUGGGUGUAAAGGGAGCGUAGACGGCAGGGCAAGUCUGGAGUGAAAGGCGGGGGCCCAACCCCGGAACUGCUCUGGAAACUGUGAAGCUGGAGUGCAGGAGAGGUAAGCGGAAUUCCUGGUGUAGCGGUGAAAUGCGUAGAUAUUAGGAGGAACACCAGUGGCGAAGGCGGCUUACUGGACUGUAACUGACGUUGAGGCUCGAAGGCGUGGGGAGCAAACAGGAUUAGAUACCCGAGUAGUC